rnacentral:rRNA from 1 species
AAACCAGCACCUCAAGUUGUCAGGAGGAUUAUUGGGCCUAAAGCAUCCGUAGCCUGCUCUGUAAGUUUCCGGUUAAAUCCAUUUGCUCAACAAAUGGGCUGCCGGAAAAACUGCAAAGCUAGGGAGUGGGAGAGGUAGACGGUACUCGGUAGGAAGGGGUAAAAUCCUUUGAUCUAUUGAUGACCACCUGUGGCGAAGGCGGUCUACCAGAACACGUCCGACGGUGAGGGAUGAAAGCUGGGGGAGCAAACCGGAUUAGAAACCCCUGUAGUCC